CCUACGGGUGGCAGCAGUGAGGAAUAUUGGUCAAUGGUCGGGAGACUGAACCAGCCAAGCCGCGUGAGGGAGGAAGGUACAGAGUAUCGUAAACCUCUUUUGUCAGGGAACAAAGGCGGGGACGUGUCCCCGGAUGAGUAGACCGGAAGAAAAAGCAUCGGCUAACUCCGUGCCAGCAGCCGCGGUAAUACGGAGGAUUCAAGCGUUAUCCGGAUUUAUUGGGUUUAAAGGGUGCGUAGGCGGUCGGAUAAGUUAGUGGUGAAAUCCCGAGGCUCAACUUCGGAAUUGCCGCUGAUACUGUGCGUUUAGAGAGUAGUUGCGGUAGGGGGAAGGUAUGGUGUAGCGGUGAAAUGCUUAGAGAUCAUACAGAACACCGAUUGCGAAGGCAGCUUACCAAGCUACUUCUGACGUUGAGGCACGAAAGCGUGGGGAGCAAACAGGAUUAGAUACCCCAGUAGUC
rnacentral:rRNA from 1 species